AACGUAGGUGGCGAGCGUUAUCCGGAAUUACUGGGCGUAAAGCGUGCGCAGGCGGCUUUGCAAGACAGAUGUGAAAUCCCCGGGCUCAACCUGGGAACUGCAUUUGUGACUGCAUGGCUAGAGUGCGGCAGAGGGGGAUGGAAUUCCGCGUGUAGCAGUGAAAUGCGUAGAUAUGCGGAGGAACACCGAUGGCGAAGGCAAUCCCCUGGGCCUGCACUGACGCUCAUGCACGAAAGCGUGGGGAGCAAACAGG
rnacentral:rRNA from 1 species